UGAAACUCAGGGCUCCUGGUGGAGUCCAGGCGCCCCGACUCUCCAAAUAGCCUCUAGAGCCACCGUUUUUAUGGAAACCCGUCCAUGUUUUUGGAAUCGAAGCAGUGCCCGAAGAAGGAGGAGUGGAAGAAGAAGAAUAAGCAGGAACGGCGACGACGACAAUCACGCCUGAGGAUUCAACCCACGUUCUGAGAAGCGUCUGGUUUCAUGCCCAGAUUCGGAGGGCUUGCUCCCAUCCAGGGGUAUUGGCUAUUCUAUUCUCAUCCCCUCGCUGCUUGCACUCAGCUGAGUCAAUCCCGACUUGCACCUUCGCCUCUCCCUGGCAGCCAUGCUUGCACCCUCUGGGUUUGGGUAGCCCUUGACCGUUCUGUAAGGAAUGGGAAUGGGGAGGAAGGAGGCGGGUAUUGGUGCGGCCAGGGAGGAUCGAUGGCAGAGCGUGUGCAGGAAGGAGAUCGGCGUGUCAGGGGGUUUGGUGGACCUCGAAGUUGGCGGACCUUCGACAGAGCAGGUGUGGAGGAGGGGGAGGGAAGGAUGUUGCGCAAAAGCUCUCGGUGGUAGUGUUCCAGACAUUCCAGACAACAUCAUCCCUUUGUCUUUGGAUCUCAGCUGUGGUGGCGAGAAUGAUGCAGCACCCAUCCAAUUCGUGCCAGCCACGCCUACACCCCCCUCCCGCCGCGGGGGAUUCAGUGCCGCAUUGCCCCCCUGUUUUGGAUCUUUCUGCGGUGCUAUACAGGCCCCGGGAUACCUGCCAGGCAUCCCACUCGUGCCCUGUAUCUCGCACUUCACGAUCCCUCUCGCUCCCUCUCUCGCUUCCUUUCCGAUGUCCUUUCUGCACUGCAGAAUUGUCGUACAAAUUGAUGCGAUGUGGAAAGAAGACAAUAUAUAUAUAUAUAUAUAUAUAUAUAAAGAACUACAACAUGGGAUAGUAUUUGGUAUUUUGUGUUGUUGUUGAGUUGGGCAAUUUUUGGAUGUGCCAAAAUUCACUUUUGGCGAUGCUAGGAACAAACAUAGUUGAUUUAGAUGUCUAAUCAUGUGAACCAUUCCUUUGCAGAUUAUUUGGGUGUUUCAAAUAAGUUUGCAUGGAAUGGCUACAAUCAUGACUUGUGCUCUUCAUUGAAAAGGAUUGUAUUUGAAUGAAAUGAACCAGAAUUGUAUUUGUAUUUAGAAAUAAAUUUGAAAACAUAAUAAAUACUUGUUAAAUAAAAUUAUUAUAAAUAAAUAAAUUAAUUCAUAAAUAAGUAAGAAUACAUACUU